GUCUACAGCCAUGCCAUCCUGAACAAGCCCAAUCUCGUCAGCUAAGCAGGGUCAGGCCUGGUUAGUACUUGGAUGGGAGACCACCUAGGAAGACCAGGUGUUGUAAGCU
rnacentral:rRNA from 1 species